rnacentral:rRNA from 1 species
GACGAACGCUGGCGGCGUGCUUAACACAUGCAAGUCGAACGGAAAGGCCCUGCUUUUGUGGGGUGCUCGAGUGGCGAACGGGUGAGUAACACGUGAGUAACCUGCCCUUGACUUUGGGGUAACUUCAGGAAACUGGGGCUAAUACCGGAUAGGAGCUCCUGCUGCAUGGUGGGGGUUGGAAAGUUUCGGCGGUUGGGGAUGGACUCGCGGCUUAUCAGCUUGUUGGUGGGGUAGUGGCUUACCAAGGAUUUGACGGGUAGCCGGCCUGGGAGGGUGACCGGCCACCAUGGGACUGAGAUACGGCCCAGACUCCUACGGGAGGCAGCAGUGGGGAAUAUUGCACAAUGGGCGGAAGCCUGAUGCAGCAACGCCGCGUGCGGGAUGACGGCCUUCGGGUUGUAAACCGCUUUCGCCUGUGACGAAGCGUGAGUGACGGUAAUGGGUAAAGAAGCACCGGCUAACUACGUG